rnacentral:rRNA from 1 species
AUUGAACGCUGGCGGCAUGCUUUACACAUGCAAGUCGAACGGUAACAGGCCUUCGGGUGCUGACGAGUGGCGCACGGGUGAGUAAUGCAUCGGAACGUGCCCAGAGGUGGGGGAUAACGCAGCGAAAGCUGUGCUAAUACCGCAUGUGAUCUGAGGAUGAAAGCGGGGGACCAGGCAGCAAUGUUUGGCCUCGCGCCUUUGGAGCGGCCGAUGUCGGAUUAGCUAGUUGGUGGGGUAAAGGCCUACCAAGCCGACGAUCUGUAGCUGGUCUGAGAGGACGACCAGCCACACUGGGACUGAGACACGGCCCAGACUCCUACGGGAGGCAGCAGUGGGGAAUUUUGGACAAUGGGCGCAAGCCUGAUCCAGCAAUGCCGCGUGCGGGAAGAAGGCCUUCGGGUUGUAAACCGCUUUUGUACGGAACGAAAAGGCUCUGGCUAAUACCUGGGGCUGAUGACGGUACCGUAAGAAUAAGCACCGGCUAACUACGUG